UACAAUGACAGGUCUUUUAGGAUUUGUCUAGCAGGUUUUCUGGUUUUUACCGGAAAACCCUU
rnacentral:snRNA from 1 species